AAAUUGAAGAGUUUGAUCAUGUCUCAGAUUGAACGCUGGCGGCAGGCCUAACACAUGCAAGUCGAGCGGGAGCACAGAGAGCUUGCUCUCGGGUGACGAGCGGCGGACGGGUGAGUAAUGUCUGGUAAACUGCCUGAUGGAGGGGGAUACCUACUGGAAACGGUAUCUAAUACCGCAUAACG
rnacentral:rRNA from 1 species